rnacentral:rRNA from 1 species
AGUGAACGCUGGCGGUAGGCCUAACACAUGCAAGUCGAACGGCAGCACAGUAAGAGCUUGCUCUUACGGGUGGCGAGUGGCGGACGGGUGAGGAAUACAUCGGAAUCUACUUUUUCGUGGGGGAUAACGUAGGGAAACUUACGCUAAUACCGCAUACGACCUACGGGUGAAAGCAGGGGAUCUUCGGACCUUGCGCGAUUGAAUGAGCCGAUGUCGGAUUAGCUAGUUGGCGGGGUAAAGGCCCACCAAGGCGACGAUCCGUAGCUGGUCUGAGAGGAUGAUCAGCCAACACCGAACCGGGACACGGUCCCGACCCCCACGGGAGGCAGCAGUGGGGAAUAUUGGACAAUGGGCGCAAGCCUGAUCCAGCCAUACCGCGUGGGUGAAGAAGGCCUUCGGGUUGUAAAGCCCUUUUGUUGGGAAAGAAAAGCAGCAGGUUAAUACCCCGCUGUUCUGACGGUACCCAAAGAAUAAGCACCGGCUAACUUCGUG